CAGCAGCCACGGUAAUACGAAGGGUGCAAGCGUUACUCGGAAUUACUGGGCGUAAAGCGUGCGUAGGUGGUGGUUUAAGUCCGUUGUGAAAGCCCUGGGCUCAACCUGGGAAUUGCAGUGGAUACUGGGUCACUAGAGUGUGGUAGAGGAUAGUGGAAUUUCCGGUGUAGCAGUGAAAUGCGUAGAGAUCGGAAGGAACAUCUGUGGCGAAGGCGACUAUCUGGGCCAACACUGACACUGAGGCACGAAAGCGUGGGGAGCAAACAGGAUUAGAUACCCCCGUAGUCCCUGUCUCUUAUAU
rnacentral:rRNA from 1 species